AUGAACGCUGGCGGCGUGCCUAAUACCUGCAAGUCGAGCGAACGGACGAGAAGCUUGCUUCUCUGAUGUUAGCGGCGGACGGGUGAGUAACACGUGGAUAACCUACCUAUAAGACUGGGAUAACUUCGGGAAACCGGAGCUAAUACCGGAUGAUAUUUUGAACCGCAUGGUUCAAAAGUGAAAGACGGUCUUGCUGUCACUUAUAGAUGGAUCCGCGCUGCAUUAGCUAGUUGGUAAGGUAACGGCUUACCAAGGCAACGAUGCAUAGCCGACCUGAGAGGGUGAUCGGCCACACUGGAACUGAGACACGGUCCAGACUCCUACGGGAGGCAGCAGUAGGGAAUCUUCCGCAAUGGGCGAAAGCCUGACGGAGCAACGCCGCGUGAGUGAUGAAGGUCUUCGGAUCGUAAAACUCUGUUAUUAGGGAAGAACAUAUGUGUAAGAAACUGUGCACAUCUUGACGGUACCUAAUCAGAAAGCCACGGCUAACUACGUG
rnacentral:rRNA from 1 species